AGAGUUUGAUCCUGGCUCAGAACGAACGCUGGCGGCAUGCCUAACACAUGCAAGUCGAACGCGUGUAGCAAUACACGAGUGGCGCACGGGUGAGUAACACGUGACUAACCUACCCUGGAGUGGGGAAUAACUGAGGGAAACCUUAGCUAAUACCGCAUAACACCUACGGGUCAAAGGAGCAAUUCGCUUCAGGAGGGGGUCGCGGCCGAUUAGUUAGUUGGCAGGGUAAUGGCCUACCAAGACGAUGAUCGGUAUCCGGCCUGAGAGGGCGCACGGACACACUGGAACUGAAACACGGUCCAGACUCCUACGGGAGGCAGCAGUGGGGAAUUUUGCGCAAUGGGGGAAACCCUGACGCAGCAACGCCGCGUGGAGGAUGAAGUCCUUCGGGACGUAAACUCCUUUCGAUCGGGACGAUAAUGACGGUACCGAGAGAAGAAGCCCCGGCUAACUUCGUGCCAGCAGCCGCGGUAAUAA
rnacentral:rRNA from 1 species